rnacentral:rRNA from 1 species
GACGAACGCUGGCGGCGUGCUUAACACAUGCAAGUCGAACGGAAAGGCCCUGCUUUUGUGGGGUGCUCGAGUGGCGAACGGGUGAGUAACACGUGAGUAACGUGCCCUUGCCUUUGGGAUAACUUCAGGAAACUGGAGCUCAUACCGGAUAGGAGCUCCUGCUUCUUGGUGGGGGUUGGAAAGUUUCGGCGGUUGGGGAUGGACUCGCGGCUUAUCAGCUUGUUGGUGGGGUAGUGGCUUACCAAGGCUUUGCCGGGUAGCCGGCCUGAGAGGGUGACCGGCCACAUUGGGACUGAGAUACGGCCCAGACUCCUACGGGAGGCAGCAGUGGGGAGUAUUGCACAAUGGGCGGAAGCCUGAUGCAGCAACGCCGCGUGCGGGAUGACGGCCUUCGGUUUGUAAACCACUUUCGCCUGUGACGAAGCGUGAGUGACGGUAAUGGGUAAAGAAGCACCGGCUAACUACGUG